CAGCAAUUGAAGACGGAGAUUGUGGCUUUUGUUCUGACCGUGGUGAAUAGAGGAAAGGAGUCCAAUCCUGGCAGACAAGUGGCAGGUCACAGUUGCUCCAGAUGACCUGGGAGUAAGGAAUAUCCUCAACAAGUAAUGAAACUUAAACUCACACAUAAAGGGUUCUUUUGAAGACCCUGACCUGGAGUUACACACUGACUACAUUUCUUUGCGGGAAUGGGACCCACUCUCCGGGUUUCACAACUGGCCAUUGAUCGGCACGCCAAGGGCUCGGCCUAAGAGCUCCACUUGCCUUCGGAGGACCAAAUUUUCGUGGCUCUGGAGGGGGGCAGAUCGGGGGGGGGGGGUGGGGCGGUGUCCAAGCAGAAGACCAGUGUGUCGUGGGAGAUGGAAGAUCUAAGGCUGUGUGCCCAGAGACCCGAGAUGUUUGGGCACAUAGCUCGUAAAAAGCGACGCAAAGGACUUUUAACAUUGUAAACCAGCAAGUUGUUUGUUAUGUCUCCCCUCACGCUGGAAACGGAGGUACCUCUUUCUCUCCUAUUAGGGAGAGAGAGAGCGCUUGUGGUAUGUCAAAUACCGGGUGAACAAGUAGUCUUUGGAGUACUGCAAGUCUGUGUCUUUGCUGUUGUUUUGCUCACGCCAUUGAGUGCUCGAUGGCGGUUGCCAAAGCAUUUUUUUUGCCGGUGGGUGGAGGGAGGACUGUUGUUUGUUGCCGCUUACACAUGGGAGGGAGUGGAGCUGGGGGGCACUUUGGGGUUCUUACAUUUAACUGUUGUUCAUUCUUUGGGGGCACUCCUCUGUUUUCAUGGAUGGUUGCGAAGAAAAAGCAUUCAGGAUGUAUAUAACAUACAUUUCUCUGACAUUAAAUGUAUCUUUGAAACCUUUGACAGCUUUAAAAAGAUUAAACAUCAGAGUUGAUGAAACGUCAGCCUGAAAUGUCACCUUUUUAUUCCUUUCCAUAGAUGCUGCCUGACCUGCUGUUUUCUUCUAGCAUUUUGUUUGUGUUGCUCUGGAUUUCCAGCAACUGCAGAGUCUCAUGUUCAGACAUUUCAUCGGUUCUGUUUCUCAGCCUAAAUGUUGUUUCAUUAACAUUGAGCUGUUGCAGCAUCUUCUGUUAUUAAUAUAUAUUUAUCUUUAAUUCUCUCACUAUGGACUCUACAGAAUCCAGCUGAGAAAAGGAACACAUCUGAAUAGCGGCACAGCAUUUGGAUGAGAUGUUUCCUAUGCUGAGUCAGUUCAAGACCAGAGGACACAGCCUCAGAAUAGAGGGGUGUCCUUUUAGAAUGGAGAUGGAGGAAUUUCAAGGAGUGAUGAAUCUGUGGAAUUCGUUGCCACAAGCAGCAGUGGAGGCAAAGUCUUUAUGUAAGGCAGAGGCUGAUAAGGUUCUUGAUUGUGCAGGGCAUAAAGGGAUACAGGGAGAAGGCAGGAGAUUAUGGCUGACAGGAAAAUUGCAUCGGCCAUGAUGAAUUGGCAGAGCAGACUCAAUGGGUCAAAUGACCUAAUUCUGCUCCUAUAUCUUAUGGUCUUAUUCCAAAAGCAGGACAGGGUUGACAAAUGGCAAAGUAGGCAUUUCUCUGUAGUUUUUGACAACUAUUUUGUUGUUUCAUCCA